AUCCAACAGGCCCUGACUCAGCCCCUGGCUUCUCCUAUGUUGGCAAGCCUCCUGCCUGCGCUGCAACCUCAGGUCAGCCGCAAAGCAUAUGCCAAAACUAAGCAUGUCUCCCCCGAUAUGACACAGGUGGUACCUGCCCUGACUGACGUGUCUAUGGCUGUCCAAGAUGGCGCAAGAGAGCCGCUGGCCGGGCAAAAUCGGCCAGAAAGUG